rnacentral:rRNA from 1 species
AGUGAACGCUGGCGGUAGGCCUAACACAUGCAAGUCGAACGGCAGCACAGUAAGAGCUUGCCCUUACGGGUGGCGAGUGGCAGCCGGGUGAGGAAUACACUGCAAUCUACUAUUUCGCGGGGGAUAACGUAGGGAAACUUACGCUAAUACCGCAUACGACGUACGGGUGAACUCAGGGGAUCUUCGGCCCUUGCGCGAUUGAAUGAGGCGAUAUCGGAUUAGCUAGUUGGGGGGGUAAAGGCCUACCAAGGCGACGAUCCGUAGCGGGUCUGAGAGGAUGAUCGGGCAGCCUGGAACUGAGACACGGUCGCGACACCUGCAGGAGGCCGCAGUCGGGAAUAUUGGGCAAGGGGGGAGAGCCUGAUCCAGCCAUACCGCGUGGGUGAAGGAGGCCUUCGGGUGGGAAAGCGCUUUUGUUGGGAAAGAAGAGCAGUGGUUUAAUACCCCGCUAUUCUGACGGUACCUAAUGAAUAAGCACCGGCUAACUUCGUG